rnacentral:rRNA from 1 species
UGCAAGUCGAGCGGACAGAAGGGAGCUUGCUCCCGGAUGUUAGCGGCGGACGGGUGAGUAACACGUGGGUAACCUGCCUGUAAGACUGGGAUAACUCCGGGAAACCGGAGCUAAUACCGGAUAGUUCCUUGAACCGCAUGGUUCAAGGAUGAAAGACGGUUUCGGCUGUCACUUACAGAUGGACCCGCGGCGCAUUAGCUAGUUGGUGGGGUAAUGGCUCACCAAGGCGACGAUGCGUAGCCGACCUGAGAGGGUGAUCGGCCACACUGGGACUGAGACACGGCCCAGACUCCUACGGGAGGCAGCAGUAGGGAAUCUUCCGCAAUGGACGAAAGUCUGACGGAGCAACGCCGCGUGAGUGAUGAAGGUUUUCGGAUCGUAAAGCUCUGUUGUUAGGGAAGAACAAGUGCGAGAGUAACUGCUCGCACCUUGACGGUACCUAACCAGAAAGCCACGGCUAACUACGUGCCAGCAGCCGCGGUAAUACGUAGGUGGCAAGCGUUGUCCGGAAUUAUUGGGCGUAAAGGGCUCGCAGGCGGUUUCUUAAGUCUGAUGUGAAAGCCCCCGGCUCAACCGGGGAGGGUCAUUGGAAACUGGGAAACUUGAGUGCAGAAGAGGAGAGUGGAAUUCCACGUGUAGCGGUGAAAUGCGUAGAGAUGUGGAGGAACACCAGUGGCGAAGGCGACUCUCUGGUCUGUAACUGACGCUGAGGAGCGAAAGCGUGGGGAGCGAACAGGAUUAGAUACCCUGGUAGUCCACGCCGUAAACGAUGAGUGCUAAGUGUUAGGGGGUUUCCGCCCCUUAGUGCUGCAGCUAACGCAUUAAGCACUCCGCCUGGGGAGUACGGUCGCAAGACUGAAACUCAAAGGAAUUGACGGGGGCCCGCACAAGCGGUGGAGCAUGUGGUUUAAUUCGAAGCAACGCGAAGAACCUUACCAGGUCUUGACAUCCUCUGACAACCCUAGAGAUAGGGCUUUCCCUUCGGGGACAGAGUGACAGGUGGNGCAUGGUNGUCGUCAGCUCGUGUCG